rnacentral:rRNA from 1 species
AUACGUAGGUGGCGAGCGUUGUCCGGAAUUACUGGGCGUAAAGGGUGCGUAGGCGGAUAUUUAAGUCAGAUGUGAAAUUCCAGGGCUCAACCCUGGGCUUGCAUUUGAAACUGGGUAUCUAGAGUGCAGGAGAGGAAAGCGGAAUUCCUAGUGUAGCGGUGAAAUGCGUAGAUAUUAGGAAGAACACCAGUGGCGAAGGCGGCUUUCUGGACUGUAACUGACGCUGAGGCACGAAAGCGUGGGGAGCAAACAGGAUUAGAUACCCUGGUAGUCCACGCCGUAAACGAUGAGUGCUAGGUGUAGGGGCUGUCAUGGCUUCUGUGCCGCAGUAAACGCAAUAAGCACUCCGCCUGGGGAGUACGGUCGCAAGACUAAA